AUACGACAAAGGCAAAGCUAAUGAAAAUUAGUGACGCAAAGCUAAAGGAGCUAAGGUGAAUGUCCAUUCACUAUGCUAGCCAGUUACCGAA
rnacentral:ncRNA from 1 species